CUCACAAGGCGCAGAUUGAUGCCCAGGCUGGUCAAGGCUGCAGCCCAGGGGCACCACAUGUGCAAGGGCCACAGAUUGGCCUUUCAUUCCAACUCCAGAAGCGCGAGGUUGAUAUCUGUGCUCUUCUCUUCAGAAGCGUGAGGUUGAUAUCUGUGCUCUUCCCUAUCACCUUCAGAAGCGUGAGGUUGAUAUCUGUGCUCUUCCCUAUCACCUUCAGAAGCGUGAGGUUGAUAUCUGUGCUCUUCUCUCUCACCUUCAAGAGCGUGAGGUUGAUAUCUGUGCACUGCCUCAAUUUAGUGACAAGUGUACUAAGCUGUAAUACUGUCUAUACAUAUACAGCUGUUUGUAAAUAUCUUUUUGCUUCCAUUUAUAUUCUCUAGUCUUUUUCUUUAUAUUUUUCACUUCUUGGAUUAUGUACCUGGUGGAGGAUAAAUACAUUUACAACU
ensembl:lncRNA